UACGUAGGGUGCGAGCGUUAAUCGGAAUUACUGGGCGUAAAGCGUGCGCAGGCGGAUGUUUAAGUCAGAUGUGAAAUCCCCGGGCUCAACCUGGGAAUGGCAUUUGAAACUGGGCAUCUAGAGUGCGUCAGAGGGGGGUGGAAUUCCACGUGGAGCAGUGAAAUGCGUAGAGAUGUGGAGGAACACCGAUGGCGAAGGCAGCCCCCUGGGAUGACACUGACGCUCAUGCGCGAAAUCGUGGAGAGCAAACAGGAUUAGAUACCCUGGUAGGCCACCCCCUAAACUAUGUCAACUAGUUGUUUGGGACGUAAGUUCUUAGUGACGAAGCUAACGCGUGAAGUGGACCGCCUGGGUAGUACGGCCGCAAGGUUG
rnacentral:rRNA from 1 species